CACAGAGGACUGAUAGGUAACGUAUACCGGACCUUAGAAUGGCCGGACUAACGUACCAAAGAAUAUUCAGGAAUAGCCGAGGUCAAGGGAAACAGAAAGAGACACAACGAUAAGGAAAAGACAGGAGUCAGGGAUGCCAGAAAACAGGGAAGUCAAAUAACCAGAAAUUACCAGAAUAAAUAACGCGCUCUCUGACAACCACAAGUGAAACCACGACAGAGCACUGAGCAG